UACGUAGGGUGCGAGCGUUAAUCGGAAUUACUGGGCGUAAAGCGUGCGCAGGCGGUUUGGUAAGACAGAUGUGAAAUCCCCGGGCUUAACCUGGGAAUUGCAUUUGUGACUGCUCGGCUAGAGUGUGUCAGAGGGGGGUAGAAUUCCACGUGUAGCAGUGAAAUGCGUAGAUAUGUGGAGGAAUACCGAUGGCGAAGGCAGCCCCCUGGGAUAACACUGACGCUCAUGCACGAAAGCGUGGGGAGCAAACAGG
rnacentral:rRNA from 1 species